CUAGCAACCACAAGACAAUAAGACUUGUCUCUCAUUAACAACACGUUACGCUUCCCUUUACUGAUGCAGCCUUUCUGAAAAGGCAUGAGGUUCUUACAGACCUUUCACUGUGAAUGAAUAUCAUCAGGGACUUGGAGAGGGUAACUACUUUCACCCACACAUUUGCAGUUGCAUUCACAUGAAACAGCCUUGUCUAUAAAGUUAUAAGCUCCUAGACUGAAAAUGAAGAAUAUGGUACUGUGACAUUUGCCAAGCACCCUUUCAGUUGCUUUCAUCUUUGUUUUGGUUGAACAUGUACACACAUACAUUGGAGAACGUUCUCUGAAUUCUGCACUUCUCUUGAGGCCUUUGUGAGCAGGAUUCUUGAUAAGCAGAGAAGAACAAGACAGAAAAUAUGACUCUUGAGGAAACACCCAAUGUUCAAAGCCAACAGCUGCAUGCACACUGUUGCAACGUACAGUAGAAGCUGUCAAAUGGUUUAUUCUGAGGAAAAUUAUUGUUCUGUGUAUCCAUAAAAAAUGUAAGGAGAAGGGUUUUCAAAUAUGUUUAUGAGUAACUCAUCAUUCCUC